AUUCUCACGUCAAUAGCACCUACACUAAAACUGGAGCGAUACAGAGAAGAUUAGCAGGGUCCCUGUGCCAAGGAUGACAUGCAAAUUCAUGAAGUGUCCCACAACUUC
ensembl:snRNA U6 U6 spliceosomal RNA